GUCGGGGUGGCUGAGCGGUCUAAGGCGCCAGACUCAAGUUCUGGUCCACGAUGUGGGCGUGGGUUCGUAUCUCACCUCC
rnacentral:tRNA from 1 species